UCCAGACUCCUACGGGAGGCAGCAGUGGGGGAUAUUGCACAAUGGGGGGAACCCUGAUGCAGCGACGCCGCGUGGGUGAAGGAGCGUUUCGGCGCGUAAAGCCCUAUCGGCAGGGAAGAAGGAGGACGGUACCUGACUAAGAAGCCCCGGCUAACUACGUGCCAGCAGCCGCGGUAAUACGUAGGGGGCAAGCGUUAUCCGGAUUUACUGGGUGUAAAGGGGGCGCAGACGGCAGCGCAAGCCAGGAGUGAAAGCCCGGGGCCCAACCCCGGGACUGCUCUUGGAACUGCGCGGCUGGAGUGCAGGAGGGGCAGGCGGAAUUCCUGGUGUAGCGGUGAAAUGCGUAGAUAUCAGGAGGAACACCGGUGGCGAAGGCGGCCUGCUGGACCGUAACUGACGUUGAGGCUCGAAAGCGUGGGGAGCAAACAGGAUUAGAUACCCCAGUA
rnacentral:rRNA from 1 species